rnacentral:rRNA from 1 species
UCCAGCCUGCCGCGUGAGUGAUGAAGGCCUUAGGGUUGUAAAGCUCUUUUGUCCGGGACGAUAAUGACGGUACCGGAAGAAUAAGCCCCGGCUAACUUCGUGCCAGCAGCCGCGGUAAUACGAAGGGGGCUAGCGUUGCUCGGAAUUACUGGGCGUAAAGGGCGCGUAGGCGGCUUAUUAAGUCAGGGGUGAAAGCCUGUGGCUCAACCACAGAAUUGCCUUUGAUACUGGUUGGCUUGAGUCCGGAAG